UGUUAGUGAUCGUUGGUGAGAGUGUAUUUUCAAUCCGUUCAAUCUUCGCUAGAAAGUCAGUGUCAAGUUAGCGAAAAUGUUUGACAGAGAAGAAGAUCCAUCAAAGACUCCUUCGCGGAAGAAGUUGAAAUUCCAGGCCAAACAUAAUCAAAUAUAUCUUAAGAAAUGAGAAGAUAUGUUUUCGUGGGUUAAGCCGGGACCUGACGAGAACCGGGCAUUUUGUACGUUGUGUAGGAAGGAUUUUAGUAUUUCGCACGGUGGACAAGGUGACCUGAGGCAACAUGCACAAUACAAGGGACAUAAAAUUAAGGAAAAAUGUAAUUCUCGAAGUUCAAAUAAACUUUCGAAAUACUUUGUUAAUUUAAACAAUAAAGAAGAAUAUGAAAACAGCACCGCGUGCGAGCUUGGUUUAGUGUAUCAUGCAGUGAAACACAACUUACGUUAUUCCAGUCUGGACUGCGGAAAUAAACUUGUGUCUCAUAUUUUCAGUGAUUUAUAGCCUGUUACUUGUGAAAAAUGUCGUUAUAAACAAGCAACGAGACAUCACUCCCUUUUUUAUUUUACAAAAUCUGGCAACCCUACGUGAAGCUGACCGCUCCCCUCCAACUAGUUCACAGUUCUGGAAAGGCGCUUGUGAAGAGACUUAUCGCUGUGUGCCCUGAAUGCAGGACCUUCUGGACGCCAGACGACUGGGGUGACCAGGAAUUGUUAUAAUACUACAUUAUGUUGCUUCUUGCCUUAUAGUGGGAAACAUACAUGAGUGCUUGGAUGGCUGAUGGCCUUUUCUGUUCUGAAAUAUGCACUUGGAGCCUGAAACAGCCUGUAUUCAUCAACAAAGGAAAAGGCCAUCAGCCUACCAAGUGUAGAUACUCAAGUCAUAUGAGAUACUUUGUUGUGUAUGCUCGACAGUCUCAUUGCUCUCUUGCCCCACCCAAAAUAUCUACUUCAGCUAUUACCAGACCUUUAGUCCAUGAUGAGCCAUUAAAAAAAUCUGGUGUUUGGGCCAGUAGAGGGUAUAUUGUUAUUUUCCUCAAGAUGCCAUCUAUGCAGCACCUAUUUAGGAAGAUGGUUUUCAUAAAUGACAAACUGAAUCUAAAUCAUUGUAGCUGUUUAUGAGGAAAUUGCAGUUUUCUGUUGGUUGGGGCGGGGUGGUGAUGGCAUUUGCUAGGCACCAACAUACGAUGGCUAGUCUCUUAAAUAUUGAAUAUGAAUAAAGGAGUAUGUAAUUAUGUGAAGAUUUCACAUUAUUGUUUAUUUUUGCUGACAGGUCUGGAGAGGGUACUGGCAAAGGGAUCACUGCCCCAUGUAAGAAAGGAGACCAUAAUACUGGACUGUAGAAAUGGCAUAGUAGUACAGCACAACAGUGUGUUAUAAAAAUUGACAGUAAUAUGAAACAUUUUAUUAUCUUGUCUAGCAUACUCUAUAUUUAGUAUAUUAUAGUUCAGUAUAGCAUAUCAUCAUCAUAGUCACCAACUUACUCUUCUGUCCUAUACUUAAAUUUUUUUAACCUUUGUCCCUUCUGCUGCCAUAACCUUUUUCUGAUUAUUUGCAUUUGCCUUUCUCUGCUUGAGCUUUCUGAAGCCUUUCAAUUUAUGUACUGCUGUCUUCCUGAAAAUUUCUACUGCUAUUCAUAUGUUCUCUCCCUCACCUUACCAUCCUUUACACUCCUCAACUUCUGCUCACUUCCUCUCCUAAAUGCUGUAUUCCUGAUUUUCCUUAACCGUUUUGAAAUUACCAUUUUCUCUCCUGACCCCUUCAAAUUUCGCUUCUUUGAAUAUCAUUCCUGAAUUCCCCCAUUCCACCACUUGCUAUCGUCAUAGCUGUCAUUUCUCUUACUCUCUCACCUCUCUUCUCAGGUGUCCUUUCAUACUGCCUUUUGCUGAACACCUUUGUUUUCACCAUUUCCUUUCAAGACGUCAUCAAUUUCACUUCUUUAAUUACAUUUCCUUCUUUCCAUUCCCUACUUCAUUUCUCCUUCUCACUUCCUUCUUUCCAUACCUUUGUUGGAUCCUUCAUCCAUCCACUUUUUACCUCUCCAUACAUAAUUUUCCUGAACAAUUUUUCUUUGCUUCUUUCCUUCCUCACACAUGUCUGUUUCCACCACUUCCUUUCCAGACCCCACCCAUUAGAGGAAGAAAAGAGAAUUAAGGGAAAGCUGCAGAAGAGAUGGGAGGGGAGUCUGAAGGUGAAGUGGUGUGAGUUGAGAUGUUCACAAAAUUUUAAUAGAGUAGGAGGAGGUGGAAGUUAUGAAAAGGUGAGAGCAGAAGUGGUUUGUAAUAAAUGUUAACAAUGAAAGGGGAUUGCUAAAUUGAAGUAAAUGAAAGAAGGAAAUUGUGACCUGUUCAGGAAUGUAAUGUGAACUGCAGAUAUGGACUAUCAGGUGUACGUCGGUGUAGGUACAGUGCUCAAGUAAUACAGAUGAUGAUUUGAAUGACACAGGCAGGUCGCAGAUGACAUUGUCACUUAUGUGUGAUAUUACCACUCACAGUCCAUUGUUCUUAACUGUAAGUAGAUCAAAGAGACAGAUGCAGACAGUGAAUAGUUGACCACCUGCAAAAUGGAAAUAUAUGUGGCAGUUAGUGGAGUGGAACAUUUUUACAUUCUUGUGAUACAGAGAGAAAUGGGAGCGUAACAUGUCAGAAGUCUGAUAUCCACCACAGACCUAACAUGGAAUAUCCAGAGUAAUGAAAUUUACAUCUGUACUCUUGUCAUUAUGUUUGGUAGCCAUGCCUAUUGAAGCCAUGUGCAAGUACUGGGGUAGGAUUUGUUGUGUAUGUGAUUUAAAUCCUCAUUCCCACUGUAUUAUUGCUUUUGGUGCUGUUAUUGCAUAAGAAUACUUUAAUUUCAUAAUUUGAGUGUUACUCCCUUUCAUACAGCUGUAAAUACUAUACAUUGUGAAAACCAUAUUCCGGGCACAGAACGGAUAUUUCUGCUUAGAAGAGGUAGAAACUUCAUGCAGCAGGUCACUUGACCUGUUAGGCCAUUUAUUCACCUUCAUGCAGGAGAUGAAUAUAAAACAAGCAAUCCUGUCAUAUGAACUAGUGACUGUACAUGUCUGUAUUACAUGGAGUUUAGAAAAUGUUAGGCUUGUAGUUCAGUAAUGAAGCAUUUCCAUCCAGGCAGGCUGCUAAUUUUUGGUUUAUUCAAUGAUCCUUAUUCAGUUGUUGCUUAGGAUGAGGUUGAAUGAUGAACUGGGAGAGAAGUGGAGGUAUAUAUUCACAGCACUUGAUUGGUGGGGACUGAGAAAAUCAUUAAAAAACCCCCAUCAGGAUUGACUGGUUAGGAGCCAGAUGUCACUCCAUGAAAACCCCUGUUUUAUUUAAACAUCUUAUACAUGUCUAUGAUUCUGCUGAAAUUUAUAAAGCUGGCACUGUUUAGGUGGGUAUGUUUAUUUUUCUGUAUCAUUGAGUUUGAGUAUGGCCUUGUGCUUUUGUCUGAUUCCCCACCCAUUUGCAAUUUUCUCCUCCAGUGCCACUUGUACUGGUUAUCAUCUGCACUGUGCAGUCACCCUUGAGUCUGAGACAGGCCUACCUAAUGUCUCAACAGCUAUUCUCACUUUGUCCCUUACAAAUCUCCUGAGCCACACUUCAGUUUGGGGGGAGGGGGAGUUGGCCACUGUUGCUUGAUUCUUGGAUUCACCUAACAUUUUUCCAGCUGCACAGAUUAUAACAUCAGCCAGAAUGAUUAUGGAUGGCAAGUUUAAAGGUCUGUACUCAGUGCUUGAGGUGGAAUGAAAAUAGAACCGGGAUGGUUUUCCCCUUUUAAUUCAUUUACUGCCAAAGAAGUAACAGGAUGCUUUUAAGCCAUUUAGAAAAGAACCGGGAUGCCAUCCCGCCCCACCUCAAGCCCUGUAUGUACUCAUAUAUGCAUGGUAGUAGACAUGAUCUGAUUUAAGGUACACUCGCAGCAUUUGCCUGGAAGAACUGAGGAAAACUACUACUACUACAAUAAUAAUGAUAAGUAUGAUUGCUCUUCAUGCUGAAUUCAAACCUAGGACAACCCAAAUAUGAAGCAGGAAUGCUGACCAGUGACUAAUAAUAUUCAGUUUGUGGCCUCAAAGUACUGAAUUUCUGAUGACUGCAUUGAGAACAUAAGAAAUCAUUACAGCUAUCAGACUUGCAGAAGUUACUGUUUAAAUCUUCUGUCACUGUAAUUCUUAUGGAAAUGAUAAAUUCACUGACAAGUAACAUAGACUCAUCUUUCAAUUUGAAUUUGUGCUUUUAAAUUCUGUAGAUAGCACCUAGACUGUGGAGAGGGUCUUAAGGCCGCCAUACAAUAUUUCUCUUUGGUGAAAUAUGUCAAUUCUAAUAAAGGACCAUAUUUUAAGGCAUUUACUUCAGUGUGUUGUAAUGAUAAACCAGACAUGGAAGCUUACAUCAGUUCAUAGCCAUGGGGUGAAGAUGGCCACAGAACUGCAUCGUCUUGAGGGCAGAAUGGGCCAAGUAGCUUAAGUAAUAUAAACUCCAGGGAUCUUUCAUGUCACCUCACUACAUGUGAAGAAUAACAUGUUACAAUUAGAUAUCACAAGAAUAUACAUUUUAUAUUCUGUGUCAAAGAGACAAUGAAGAUUCAGUUUUAUGAAAUUACAUUUUGCUUGUUUUCAUGACAAACACUGAACAAUUAUUGUAGGCAGCAGGCACAUAAAAUUAAUUGUGAUGAGAGGUUAUAAAAUUGUGUACAAAUUACUUUUCAUGUUAAGAGGAACAUUGAAAAGGUAUGAGCGGCAAGGUGAGUGUAUGCAUCAAUUUGGAACAUGUUUCUAGAAGCAAUACUGACACAUCCAAUACUUACGAAUGGUCCAACUGUUCAUACCACAACAGGAACUGAUGUGAUGGUGCAACAUA